GGCUGGUCUGAAGGUACUGAGUUAUCUCAAUUGAUUGUUCCUAGUCAGUUGUAGACUGAACUCCUGGUUAUAUUUUUUCUCCCCUUCUCACUACUGCACUUGACUAGUCUUAA
ensembl:misc_RNA Y_RNA Y RNA